UAGGGAAUCUUCGGCAAUGGACGAAAGUCUGACCGAGCAACGCCGCGUGAGUGAAGAAGGUUUUCGGAUCGUAAAACUCUGUUGGUAGAGAAGAACGUUGGUGAGAGUGGAAAGCUCAUCAAGUGACGGUAACUACCCAGAAAGGGACGGCUAACUACGUGCCAGCAGCCGCGGUAAUACGUAGGUCCCGAGCGUUGUCCGGAUUUAUUGGGCGUAAAGCGAGCGCAGGUGGUUUAUUAAGUCUGGUGUAAAAGGCAGUGGCUCAACCAUUGUAUGCAUUGGAAACUGGUAGACUUGAGUGCAGGAGAGGAGAGUGGAAUUCCAUGUGUAGCGGUGAAAUGCGUAGAUAUAUGGAGGAACACCGGUGGCGAAAGCGGCUCUCUGGCCUGUAACUGACACUGAGGCUCGAAAGCGUGGGGAGCAAAACAGGAUUAGAUACCCUGGUAGUCCACGCCGUAAACGAUGAGUGCUAGAUGUAGGGAGCUAUAAGUUCUCUGUAUCGCAGCUAACGCAAUAAGCACUCCGCCUGGGGAGUACGACCGCAAGGUUGAAAC
rnacentral:rRNA from 1 species